CCCUUAGACGUUCUGGGCCGCACGCGCGCUACACUGACCAGUGCAACAAGCAUCCGUCCUUGGCCGACAGGCUCGGGCAAUCUUUGAACGCUGGUCGUGAUGGGGAUAGACUUUUGCAAUUUUUGGUCUUCAACGAGGAAUUCCUAGUAAACGCAAGUCAUCAACUUGCAUUGAUUACGUCCCUGCCCUUUGUACACACCGCCCGUCGCACCUACCGACUGAAUGGUCCGGUGAAGCCUCCGGAUUGGCGCGCACCUCGGUGCCGCCGAGAAGUUGGCUAAACCUUACCAUUUAGAGGAAGGUGAAGUCGUAACA
rnacentral:rRNA from 1 species